AGCGUACACGGUGGAUGCCCUGGCAGUCAGAGGCGAUGAAGGACGUGCUAAUCUGCGAUAAGCGCCGGUAAGGUGAUAUGAACCGUUAUAACCGGCGAUUUCCGAAUGGGGAAACCCAGUGUGAUUCGUCACACUAUCAUUAACUGAAUCCAUAGGUUAAUGAGGCGAACCGGGGGAACUGAAACAUCUAAGUACCCCGAGGAAAAGAAAUCAACCGAGAUUCCCCCAGUAGCGGCGAGCGAACGGGGAGGAGCCCAGAGCCUGAAUCAGCAUGUGUGUUAGUGGAAGCGUCUGGAAAGGUGCGCGAUACAGGGUGACAGCCCCGUACACAAAAGCGCAUGUGCUGUGAGCUCGAUGAGUAGGGCGGGACACGUGGUAUCCUGUCUGAAUAUGGGGGGACCAUCCUCCAAGGCUAAAUACUCCUGACUGACCGAUAGUGAACCAGUACCGUGAGGGAAAGGCGAAAAGAACCCCGGCGAGGGGAGUGAAAAAGAACCUGAAACCGUGUACGUACAAGCAGUGGGAGCACAGGUUUACCUGUGUGACUGCGUACCUUUUGUAUAAUGGGUCAGCGACUUAUAUUCUGUAGCAAGGUUAACCGUAUAGGGGAGCCGUAGGGAAACCGAGUCUUAACCGGGCGUUAAGUUGCAGGGUAUAGACCCGAAACCCGGUGAUCUAGCCAUGGGCAGGUUGAAGGUUGGGUAACACUAACUGGAGGACCGAACCGACUAAUGUUGAAAAAUUAGCGGAUGACCUGUGGCUGGGGGUGAAAGGCCAAUCAAACCGGGAGAUAGCUGGUUCUCCCCGAAAGCUAUUUAGGUAGCGCCUCGUGAAUUCAUCUCCGGGGGUAGAGCACUGUUUCGGCUAGGGGGCCAUCCCGGCUUACCAACCCGAUGCAAACUGCGAAUACCGGAGAAUGUUAUCACGGGAGACACACGGCGGGUGCUAACGUCCGUCGUGAAGAGGGAAACAACCCAGACCGCCAGCUAAGGUCCCAAAGUCAUGGUUAAGUGGGAAACGAUGUGGGAAGGCCCAGACAGCCAGGAUGUUGGCUUAGAAGCAGCCAUCAUUUAAAGAAAGCGUAAUAGCUCACUGGUCGAGUCGGCCUGCGCGGAAGAUGUAACGGGGCUAAACCAUGCACCGAAGCUGCGGCAGCGAACGUAUCACCCAAGACAACUUUACGGAGUUGACGAUUGACGGAGCGAAGCGACGUCAAAGCGUUCAUUAAAGUCGAGUUGGCUUAGGGAUACGUUCGUUGGGUAGGGGAGCGUUCUGUAAGCCUGUGAAGGUGUGUCGUGAGGCAUGCUGGAGGUAUCAGAAGUGCGAAUGCUGACAUAAGUAACGAUAAAGCGGGUGAAAAGCCCGCUCGCCGGAAGACCAAGGGUUCCUGUCCAACGUUAAUCGGGGCAGGGUGAGUCGACCCCUAAGGCGAGGCCGAAAGGCGUAGUCGAUGGGAAACGGGUUAAUAUUCCCGUACUUGGUGUUACUGCGAAGGGGGGACGGAGAAGGCUAUGUUGGCCGGGCGACGGUUGUCCCGGUUUAAGCGUGUAGGUGUGUGUUCCAGGUAAAUCCGGUUCACUUUAACACUGAGGCGUGACGACGAGGCACUACGGUGCUGAAGCAACAAAUGCCCUGCUUCCAGGAAAAGCCUCUAAGCAUCAGGUAACACGAAAUCGUACCCCAAACCGACACAGGUGGUCAGGUAGAGAAUACCAAGGCGCUUGAGAGAACUCGGGUGAAGGAACUAGGCAAAAUGGUGCCGUAACUUCGGGAGAAGGCACGCUGACACGUAGGUGAAGUGAUUUACUCAUGGAGCUGAAGUCAGUCGAAGAUACCAGCUGGCUGCAACUGUUUAUUAAAAACACAGCACUGUGCAAACACGAAAGUGGACGUAUACGGUGUGACGCCUGCCCGGUGCCGGAAGGUUAAUUGAUGGGGUCAGCGUAAGCGAAGCUCCUGAUCGAAGCCCCGGUAAACGGCGGCCGUAACUAUAACGGUCCUAAGGUAGCGAAAUUCCUUGUCGGGUAAGUUCCGACCUGCACGAAUGGCGUAAUGAUGGCCAGGCUGUCUCCACCCGAGACUCAGUGAAAUUGAACUCGCUGUGAAGAUGCAGUGUACCCGCGGCAAGACGGAAAGACCCCGUGAACCUUUACUAUAGCUUGACACUGAACAUUGAGCCUUGAUGUGUAGGAUAGGUGGGAGGCUUUGAAGUGUGGACGCCAGUCUGCAUGGAGCCGACCUUGAAAUACCACCCUUUAAUGUUUGAUGUUCUAACGUGGACCCGUAAUCCGGGUUGCGGACAGUGUCUGGUGGGUAGUUUGACUGGGGCGGUCUCCUCCUAAAGAGUAACGGAGGAGCACGAAGGUUGGCUAAUCCUGGUCGGACAUCAGGAGGUUAGUGCAAUGGCAUAAGCCAGCUUGACUGCGAGCGUGACGGCGCGAGCAGGUGCGAAAGCAGGUCAUAGUGAUCCGGUGGUUCUGAAUGGAAGGGCCAUCGCUCAACGGAUAAAAGGUACUCCGGGGAUAACAGGCUGAUACCGCCCAAGAGUUCAUAUCGACGGCGGUGUUUGGCACCUCGAUGUCGGCUCAUCACAUCCUGGGGCUGAAGUAGGUCCCAAGGGUAUGGCUGUUCGCCAUUUAAAGUGGUACGCGAGCUGGGUUUAGAACGUCGUGAGACAGUUCGGUCCCUAUCUGCCGUGGGCGCUGGAGAACUGAGGGGGGCUGCUCCUAGUACGAGAGGACCGGAGUGGACGCAUCACUGGUGUUCGGGUUGUCAUGCCAAUGGCACUGCCCGGUAGCUAAAUGCGGAAGAGAUAAGUGCUGAAAGCAUCUAAGCACGAAACUUGCCCCGAGAUGAGUUCU
rnacentral:rRNA from 1 species